rnacentral:rRNA from 1 species
GCCAGACUCCUACGGGAGGCAGCAGUGAGGAAUAUUGGUCAAUGGCCGGAAGGCUGAACCAGCCAUGCCGCGUGAAGGUCAGUGCCCUAUGGGCGUUAAACUUCUUUUGUGCGGGAGCAAUAAUGGUCACGUGUGGCCAGACGAGAGUACCGUACGAAUAAGCAUCGGCUAACUCCGUGCCAGCAGCCGCGGUAAUACGGAGGAUGCGAGCGUUAUCCGGAUUUAUUGGGUUUAAAGGGUGCGUAGGCGGGAUGCCAAGUCAGCGGUAAAAAUGCGGUGCUCAACGCCGUCGAGCCGUUGAAACUGGCGUUCUUGAGUGGGCGAGAAGUAUGCGGAAUGCGUGGUGUAGCGGUGAAAUGCAUAGAUAUCACGCAGAACUCCGAUUGCGAAGGCAGCAUACCGGCGCCCUACUGACGCUGAGGCACGAAAGCGUGGGUAUCGAACAGGAUUAGAUACCCGGGUACCC